rnacentral:lncRNA from 1 species
AUGAACUUGGGAAAAGAAAAAGGCUGUGCAGCUGUUUUCCAAUUCCUGUCCUCUCCAGGUGAAGCAAAAGACAGAGAUGAAAUCCAGGAUACACUAAACUCCAGUCUGUGCCAGUCUUCUGGAGAUGGCAAUCAGCUCCAGCAGGAAAGGCCAUUCUGCUCCAGCAAUAAGGCCGUUGAGGACCUGAGCCUACAGUCCAGAUCCCAGAGUCCCAUUAGCUUUGGGGAGAGCAUGCCAGACGAUGGCAGUGGGGACCAUGGUUUCCCUGUGAAAGUGGAUGAAGGUGAAGUGGUAGAGAUGCACAGCUGCCCUCAGAGUUAUGUCCCUCCCCCUACCUCUCUGGCCCAGUUCAGCCAAGUCAGUGAAGGCAUUCAGUGUGAUACGAGCCAGUGGCAGGAUGCAGAACACGAACAAUCUCCUGAGCCAUCACCAGAAAGCAGAAAGACCUCAGAGGAAGGGGCAGUCAGGUGUGGGGAAUUGGAUGAGGUGGUGGUGAGGGACGGCUUCCCCAAGUAUGUUCCUAACCCCGCCUGGUUGGCCCAGAUGAACAAGGGAGUAGAUGCGGGGAUUCAGUGUGAUGACAGCUGGUGGCAGGAUGCAGAGCUGGAGAAAUCCCCUGACCAAAUGCCUUCCAAAGAUGAGGAGUCCUCACCAGCCUGCAAAACUGAGGGCUCACAGAGAAAGACCAUCAGGACUGGGGAACUGAACACAGAUGAAGAAAUGACCAGGAAGGAUGAGACUGAGGAGGAGGAGCACGAGAACUUCAAGAAGUGUGCAGAUAUUCAAAAGUCUGUGACCGGCAGGAAGCAGACCUCCCUGAGCAACUUCUCAAGUGGGAACACAGGCUAUUUAGUGAAGAAAAAUGCUGCCUCGAGCACUGUACUUCCCGAGGAUUCAGAAGACUGUGACUUCGAAGAGGAAGUUGAAGGUGAAAUGGAGGAGCUAGACUGCCUCUUUGCAGAAGUUAGUCCACUGGGCCCUGUGGCCUCUUCAAAAGGACAGAUUUAUCACAAAGCUGGCAGGAUCAUCAGCAUGCCACCCUAG